CUGCUGCCUCCCGUAGGAGUUUGGUCCGUGUCUCAGUACCAAUGUGGGGGACCUUCCUCUCAGAACCCCUAUCCAUCGUCGGUUUGGUGGGCCCGUUACCCCCGCCAACUGCCUAAUGGAACGCAUGCCUAUCUAUCAGCGAUGAAUCUUUAGCAAAUAUCCCCAUGCGGGGCCCCCUGCUUCAUGCGGUAUUAGUCCGACUUUCGCCGGGUUAUCCCCCUCCUGAUAGGUAAGUUGCAUACGCGUUACUCACCCGUGCGCCGGUCCG
rnacentral:rRNA from 1 species